UCCAGGUAUAGCUGGGCGGAGCCCGGCACCCGUUCCCAACGGGUGGCCGGGUGACACGCUUAUAUAGGAUUUGUACUGCUGCACUGAGGAGUGCAGCCCAAUCAGAUUGCAGUAUUGCAAGUGGUUGGUUAACACCCACUUAGCUAGGUGGGUGUGCAGCUGGGCGGAGCUGCCUUGAGCAAAAUGGAGAAAGUUACACAAGUACAAAAGUUGUCACAGAAGCUGCUAACGAGCUUGGAAGUAGUCACUUCUUUUCUGAGAGACAGAGAUGUCUUUGCUGUAUUGCCUACUGGAUUUGGAAAGAGCCUUUGCUAUGCUUGUUUGCCUGCAGCAUUUGACAAAAUAUUGGAGAAGGAGAAAGGUCAUUCUAUUGUAGUAGUAGUAGUUACUCCAGUCCUCUGCUGGCCAUCAUUCAUGAUCAGGUAGCCAUCUAUUGUUCUAAAGGCAUCUCUAGCACAUAUGUCUCGGGCGAGAUGUCUGAUGCAGCUACAAUGGAUGCGAUCUUCCACGGAAAGUAUCAGCUAGUAUUCUUUACACCUGAAAUGAUCAUCAGCAAGAAGCAUUGGAGAAGACUUCUGGGGGGAGAUGUGUAUGCUAAUAGACUCAAGGCUUUGAUAAUCGAUGAAGCUCAUUGUGUGAAGAAAUGGGGUGAGACUUUCAGGCAAAUGCUGUUGAGAAUUAGAGAAGUGCGCAGCCUCAUUCCAACAUCAGUUCAUGUGAUGGCGCUAACAGCAACAGCUACCCGAAGUGACAUUUCAUUCAUUUCUCGUAUUGUUGGCCUAAGAAACCCAUUUGUCAUUACGAGAGUCCCAGUAAUCCCAAAUUUGAUUUAUGCUGUUGGAUUGUUCAAAAGUAUACCAGAGACAUUCCAAAACUUGGCCCAGAAAUUGGUAAUCGAGAGAAACAAGUUUCCCACAACAAUCAUAUAUGGACGUUCUUUUGGUGUGUGGUGACAUGUACCUCUUCUUUAAGGAUUACCUUGGAGCUGCAUUCACAAAUCCUGAUGAUGCACCUGAUCUUCCUGAAUUUCGCCUCGUGGACAUGUUUACAAGUGUCACUGAUCCAGCCCAUAAAUCUGAAAUCAUUCGUUUAUUUAAGGGUGAUGGCAAUCUUCGCAUUGUUGUAGCUACUAUGGAAUUUGGUAUGGGUGUUGAUUGUCCCAACAUUCGGUAAAUCAUUCAUGUUGGCCUGUCAGACGAUAUCAGUAGCUAUGUACAAGAGACUGGUAGAGCAGGUUGAGAUGGUAAACCAUCACGUGUAACCCUUUUGAAGGCAAGAAUUUACCAUCAAGUUGAUAAUGAGAUUAAAGAAUAUGCUUCAAACUUCAACACUACAGAUUGUAGAAGGGAUAGUCUUUUCCGAAAUAUUGACAAUUACAAACAUGUUGAUCUCGGUUUCAAUUGCUUGUGCUGUGAUAUUUGUUCUAAGUCAUGUUUAUGUGGACAGUGUGACCUAAGACUUAGUUACUUCUUUCAGCUAAUUACAAAUUUUAUUUUCAUUAUUACCUGUGCUUCAAGAAAGCUGCUAUAUCUACCGAAACAUUUCCUGCACAUUUUGGGCAAUCUGUUUUUAUCACUGCCAUUUACAAUACUGUUAAUGUCGACAUCAGCA